UACGAAGGGGGCUAGCGUUGCUCGGAAUCACUGGGCGUAAAGCGCACGUAGGCGGAUUGUUAAGUCAGGGGUGAAAUCCUGGAGCUCAACUCCAGAACUGCCUUUGAUACUGGCGAUCUUGAGUUCGGGAGAGGUGAGUGGAACUGCGAGUGUAGAGGUGAAAUUCGUAGAUAUUCGCAAGAACACCAGUGGCGAAGGCGGCUCACUGGCCCGAUACUGACGCUGAGGCGCGAAAGCUAGGGGAGCAAACAGG
rnacentral:rRNA from 1 species